GGCGAACGUUGGCGGCGUGCUUAAUACAUGCAAGUCAACUGAAGCAGUGGUAGCAAUAUCGCUGUGGAGGUGGCGCACGGGUGAGUAACACGUAGGUAAUCUGCCUUCAGGUCUGGCAUAACUCCGGGAAACCGGGGCUAAUAGCAGAUGAUGCAGCGGCUCGACAUCGAGACAGUUGUUAAAGCUAUGGCGCCUGAAGAUGAGCCUGCGUCUGAUUAGCUAGUUGGCGGGGUAACGGCCCACCAAGGCAACGAUCAGUAGCUGGUCUGAGAGGAUGAUCAGCCACACUGGAACUGAGACACGGUCCAGACUCCUACGGGAGGCAGCAGUAAGGAAUAUUGCUCAAUGGGAGAAAUCCUGAAGCAGCAACGCCGCGUGAGGGACGAAGGGCUUUUGCUUGCAAACCUCUGUAGUGAGAGAAAAAAAUCCCAAUCUUUGGGACAUGAUGGUAUCUCAAAAGUAAGCCCCGGCUAACUACGUG
rnacentral:rRNA from 1 species